UACGUAGGGUGCAAGCGUUAAUCGGAAUUACUGGGCGUAAAGCGUGCGCAGGCGGUUUUGUAAGUCUGUCGUGAAAUCCCCGGGCUCAACCUGGGAAUUGCGAUGGAGACUGCAAGGCUAGAAUCUGGCAGAGGGGGGUAGAAUUCCACGUGUAGCAGUGAAAUGCGUAGAGAUGUGGAGGAACACCGAUGGCGAAGGCAGCCCCCUGGGUCAAGAUUGACGCUCAUGCACGAAAGCGUGGGGAGCAACAGGAUUAGAAACCCCGA
rnacentral:rRNA from 1 species